CACGUAGGCACCAAGCGUUAUCCGGAUUUAUUGGGCGUAAAGAGCUCGUAGGCGGUUCGGUAAGUCGGGUGUGAAAACUCUGGGCUCAACCCAGAGAGGCCACCCGAUACUGCUGUGACUAGAGUGCGGUAGGGGAGCGGGGAAUUCCUGGUGUAGCGGUGAAAUGCGCAGAUAUCAGGAAGAACACCCGUGGCUAAGGCGGCUCUCUAGUACGGUACUGACGCUGAGACGCGAAAGCGUGGGGAGCGAACAGG
rnacentral:rRNA from 1 species